UACCUACUCUUGACAUCCAGAGAACUUUCCAGAGAUGGAUUGGUGCCUUCGGGAACUCUGAGACAGGUGCUGCAUGGCUGUCGUCAGCUCGUGUUGUGAAAUGUUGGGUUAAGUCCCGCAACGAGCGCAACCCUUAUCCUUUGUUGCCAGCGGUUCGGCCGGGAACUCAAAGGAGACUGCCAGUGAUAAACUGGAGGAAGGUGGGAAUGACGUCAAGUCAUCAUGGCCCUUACGAGUAGGGCUACACACGUGCUACAAUGGCAUAUACAAAGAGAAGCGACCUCGCGAGAGCAAGCGGACCUCAUAAAGUAUGUCGUAGUCCGGAUUGGAGUCUGCAACUCGACUCCAUGAAGUCGGAAUCGCUAGUAAUCGUAGAUCAGAAUGCUACGGUGAAUACGUUCCC
rnacentral:rRNA from 1 species